GUUAGGAAUAUUGGACAAUGGGCGAAAGCCUGAUCCAGCCAUGCCGCGUGAACGAUGAAGGCCUUCGGGUUGUAAAGUUCUUUAGCCGAUGAUUAUAAUGACUGUAGUCGGAAAAUAAGCCCCGGCUAACUUCGUGCCAGCAGCCGCGGUAAUACGAAGGGGGCGAGCGUUAUUCGGAAUCACUGGGCGUAAAGCGUGCGUAGGCGGUUUUGUAAGUUAGGAGUGAAAGCCCAGGGCUCAACCUUGGAAUUGCUCUUAAAACUGCAAGGCUCGAAUCUCGGAGAGGAUAGCGGAAUUUCCAGUGUAGCAGUGAAAUGCGUAGAUAUUGGAAGGAACACCAGUGGCGUAAGCGGCUAUCUUGACGAGUAUUGACGCUGAGGCACGAAAGCGUGGGGAUCAAACAGGAUUAGAAACCCGUGUAGUCC
rnacentral:rRNA from 1 species